GAUAUACGAACUGGAAUCUAGUCAUUUUGGGAAGAUAUUAGCAGGUUGAAGCUUGGUAGCUCAUCAGGAACGGGGUACCAUCAAUUAGCAAAUACUCUAUAUAUGGCACUAACAUUCUAAGACUACCACAAUUUCGGGCGGCAUGAACACGUAGAUGUUCUACUAUUUGUAAGAGUCCAGUUAGUACAAGGUCCGCACUGCGUAGCCACAUACAGGAGAAUCACGGGAACAAUCCCUUACACCUAAAACCCACAACUAUUCUUAAUACUAGCUGCCCCAGAGCUCUACUUCCACCAAUGCUUCCCAAAUCGAAGCAACGCAACGGACGACUCGAGCAGAGCCACUCCCGGAAACGGCCGCGCGUCUGGUGGAAAAACGAGAAUACGAGGAGACCGCCCACCGGCGCCUAAGAUUCAGAGUUUGGCGUGUACCUGCGGCGAGCUCCUCGAGGGAGGAGGGUGCGGGGGCAGGAGACGGCGACGGCGACGGUGCCGGGU
rnacentral:lncRNA from 1 species